CCAUGUAAGACAGGCUGAUCCAUAAGUAAUUGCGAAUAAAAUGACGUUUUUCUAUUGUAAGGUGAGUCUUCAAAGCUAGUGACAUAGUAUGCAAAAACACAAAUAACCACUAAUAUCAAAAGAUGCUUUCAAUACACAUAGCAAUGGUAACUUAACAAUUCAGACAAUAAGUCGUUAAUGCAUUCGAACACAUAUAUCUGCAUUCGAGUUAUCUGAUUUUUUU
rnacentral:lncRNA from 1 species